AGAUAUUGGGGUUUAGAUAUAUUGUGCCCAGUGGGCCACUUUUGGUAAGCAGAACUGGCGCUGUGGGAUGAACCAAACAUGAUGUUACGGCGCCUAAAUUAAUGACUCAUAUUGAUACCAUGAAAGGCGUUGGUUGCUUAAAACAGCAGGACGGUGGACAUGGAAGUCGUAAUCCGCUAAGGAGUGUGUAACAACUCACCUGCCGAAGCAACUAGCCCUUAAAAUGGAUGGCGCUCAAGUCAUAUGCCUAUACAUCAUCGCUAGAAUAAAAAUUGUUGACUUUCGGGUCAUCAAUAUGAAAUUCUAGUGAGUAGGAGGGUACAAUGGUGUGCGCGGAAGUGUUUGGCGUGAGCCUGCAUGAAGCCGCCAUUGGCACAGAUCUUGGUGGUAGUAGCAAAUAAUCGAAUGAGAUCUUGGAGGACUGAAGUGGAGAAGGGUUUCGUGUGAACAGUGGUUGAUCACGAGUUAGUCGGUCCUAAGCUUUAUGCGAAAGCUGUUUAAUUUAUGUUACAUACACAUUUAUUUUUGUUGUACAUAAUUCAAUAAAAGCGAAAGGGAAUACGGUUCCAAUUCCGUAACCUGUUGAGUAUACGUUUGUUUAUUAAAAAUGGGUCUUAUUACACUCAUCCUGGCAACAGGAACGACCAUAGAGAAGCCUUCGAGAGAUACUGGAAGAGUUUUCUUUUCUGCUAAACAAACGUAUCACCAUGGAAGUCUUUUAUAGAGAGAUAUGGUGAAUGGCUUGGAAGAGCAUGACAUUUACUGUUGUGUCAGUAUUUUCUCCUUGGACCUUGAAAAUCUAUGGUGGGGCCACGCAAACUUUCUCAACAGACCGUACCGAUAUCCGCAGCCGGUCUCCAAGGUGAAGAGUCUCUAGUCGAUAGAAUA
rnacentral:rRNA from 1 species